AGUAGUUUGACUCCUGGCUCGAGGAUAACGCUGGCGGCGCACAUAAGACAUGCAAGUCGAACGGAAGUCGUUAUAUUGAUUUAGAUAUGAACAGAGAACUUGUUCGAAGGGACUUGAAGAGGAUUUAUAACAAUGGCUUUAGUGGCGGACUGGUGAGUAACACGUAAGCAACCUGCCUAUCAGAGGGGAACAACAGUUAGAAAUGACUGCUAAUACCGCAUAUGCCGUGAGUUACGCAUGUAACAAACGGGAAAGGAGUAAUCCGCUGAUAGAUGGGCUUGCGUCUGAUUAGCUAGUUGGUGUGGUAACGGCAUACCAAGGCGACGAUCAGUAGCCGGACUGAGAGGAUGAACGGCCACAUUGGGACUGAGACACGGCCCAGACUCC
rnacentral:rRNA from 1 species